rnacentral:tRNA from 1 species
AAUAUUAUGUCUGAUUUAAGUAAUAAAUUGUAAAUUUAUUUAAAAGAAUUAAUUAUUCUUUAAUAUUU